rnacentral:rRNA from 1 species
AGUGAACGCUGGCGGUAGGCCUAACACAUGCAAGUCGAACGGCAGCACAGUAAGAGCUUGCUCUUACGGGUGGCGAGUGGCGGACGGGUGAGGAAUACAUCGGAAUCUACUUUUUCGUGGGGGAUAACGUAGGGAAACUUACGCUAAUACCGCAUACGACCUACGGGUGAAAGCAGGGGAUCUUCGGACCUUGCGCGAUUGAAUGAGCCGAUGUCGGAUUAGCUAGUUGGCGGGGUAAAGGCCCACCAAGGCGACGAUCCGUAGCUGGUCUGAGAGGAUGAUAAGCCACACUGGAACUGAGACACGGUCCAGACUCCUACGGGAGGCAGCAGUGGGGAAUAUUGGACAAUGGGCGCAAGCCUGAUCCAGACAUACCGCGUGGGUGAAGAAGGCCUUCGGGUUGUAAAGCCCUUUUGUUGGGAAAGAAAAGCAGCAGGUUAAUACCCCGCUGUUCUGACGGUACCCAAAGAAUAAGCACCGGCUAACUUCGUG